GUCCUCACUCUCUUCAGGACCACACGACCUCCUGCUCUCACAAAGAGGAUGCUGGUGUCACCUGUGAAGGGAUGUCUUUUGAACAUGUGACUGCCAAGGAAACUACGCAAACAUCCACAACUACAACCACAGCAAAAGCAGUUGAACCCAGAUCACUGCCCCCACAAGGCCCG